UACGUAGGGUGCAAGCGUUGUCCGGAAUUAUUGGGCGUAAAGAGCUCGUAGGCGGUUCGUCGCGUCGGCUGUGAAAACCUGAGGCUCAACCUCAGGCCUGCAGUCGAUACGGGCGGACUUGAGUACUGCAGGGGAGACUGGAAUUCCUGGUGUAGCGGUGAAAUGCGCAGAUAUCAGGAGGAACACCGGUGGCGAAGGCGGGUCUCUGGGCAGUAACUGACGCUGAGGCGCGAAAGCGUGGGGAUCAAACAGG
rnacentral:rRNA from 1 species